rnacentral:rRNA from 1 species
GUCCACGCCGUAAACGAUGGAUACUAGCUGUUGGGAUUUAUCUCAGUGGCUAAGCGAAAGUGAUAAGUAUCCCACCUGGGAGUACGUUCGCAAGAAUGAAACUCAAAGGAAUUGACGGGGGCCCGCACAAGCGGUGGAGCAUGUGGUUUAAUUCGAAUGAUACGCGAGGAACCUUACCAAGGCUUAAAUGUAGAUUGACAGGUUUGGAAACAGAUCUUUCUUCGGACAAUUUACAAGGUGCUGCAUGGUUGUCGU